ACAACCAGGUCAGACAAAGAGGAACAGGGUGACAGAGGAGAUCGAUAAAACUUUCAAUAGUUUUACAACAAUGUCAUAAAACGUGUUCCGUAGAAGAGAUAAGACUCUUUGACCAAAGUUAUUGUCAGCUAACUGAAUAAAUCAAUGACAGAAAGUGUGGGCUUAGAGCAAUAUUAGAUUCAAUUAGACAAAGAAGUACAGUAUGUCUGUGUGCGACAGGAAGACCAAGAGACUGUGGGAGAGUGAGACAGAGAUCUAGGUGGGUGAUCUGUGAGGUAUUGUGUGACAUUUUAUUGCAGCUCCUUGUCUGGUUAAUUAGUCUCAAUUAGACGUUUGCUUUUGUACAGGGGGAAGGAAACAACGGUGAGUCUCACUGAGAGAUGGUUCCGCUUCUCACAGGGGAAACUGCAACACACGCACACACAUACAGUGAGUAACAGGUUGUAAAACUCCACAAGAUAUAUAACUCAACAGAAGGCUUGAAUGGAGAGGGGGGUUAUAAAGUUAGGUGUCACAAAAGAGGUGCUCUAGAGUGGAACAGAGGUCAAUACACUUCAGUUGGAUUCACUUUCUGUCAAUACUUGAACACAUACACAUUUCAAGUUUACCUUGCUUUUAUGCCUGUCACUUGGCACACACAGAGAAACGCACACACAUAAUAUACACAGUACACAAACACACAAAAUGGUGGACAGGGAUCCCUCACAAAAUCUCUUUUCUCCACUUUCCACUCUCUUGUUUCUACUGGCAAAGGCGCCGCCUAUGUGAGAGCAGGGAAGGAAGACUAUAAAUGUUGAGUAUUUUACUACCUGGCGCUCAAGGCGCAGUAUGCAGCCACCGUUAUUAUCUCAACCGCUGUGCUGUUCUACAAGAUAGUAAAAGAUGAUGAAACGACACUGCCAGAAAGUGAGCUUGCACUGUCCCUGGUCAUGGAAGUGCGAGAUGUUCCAUUUUUCCUGCCUCAGUUGCAAGGGAUGAACCUGAAGAAGUCUCUUAGCCCACUUUGCUACUCUACCACCAUCUCUGAGGUUUUCUCUACUUCUGUCUCCCUCUUUCAUAUUUGAUUUAUUUUUUUGCCUGGUAAGCUGACAGGAAACAGGAGUAAACCCCAGGAUUUCACCAUACCUGCUGCCACCACUGCUGCAUUCAGGAGCACCAGCGGUGACAAAUGCAAACACCCUCGAACUCAAAGACCCCUUGUAAAUUAUGUCUAGCUCUGUAGAGACGGUAUGCUCCCACAGCUGGGAAUUCCCAUUGAAUUCCACCCCCUCAUGCUUUGAGUGACAGUGUCUCUGACAUGUGUAUGUGCCUAUUACACUGGUGAGAAAACAUGACUUCCAAGAGAGUUCCUGUGAAAGGGAGAUAUCUUCCCAGGCAAAAAACACAUACAAUCAGAUUUCAAAUGUUGCUUUGGCUUGUUGCCCUCAGGCGAAAUGGUCUGGAAGCUUCACUGUGAGCCAGUUCAUGCAGUGAGAACUGUCUCUCUGGGAGUGGCUCUGGGAGCUGAAGUGAAUAUCAUGUGCUCAUAGCAGCACAGGGUCAAAUCCAGCUCGCAACCUUUGUCACAAACAAUCCUUUCCCUUUCUCCCCUGUCAGUCUCCAAUUUUCUCUCUGCGCUGAUAGUGGAAAUGUUUUAGAACAAAUCAUGAAUGCAGUCUGCUAUUGCGACCAGAUGCAAUGAGCCACAUUUGUCACUUGAGCAAAUAAGGGCCUACUAGUGUUUUCAGCUUAGAAACUGUGUCAGUGCAUAUUAGCUGCGGGACUUCCCCUGACUCAUACCGUGACAGUGUGGGAUUUGGGACCUGUUACCUUCAGCUAUGCAGGUAGGUAAGCGGGUGUGGUGGAAAUUAUACACCUCUGCUGCCUGGUCUUUAUUAUUAUGACUGGGCCGUGUGUAUGGUAUGUUGGCUUGUCAUUAGAGCUGACCUUGCUGAAAUGAUAAUACGGUGAAACACAAUGACAGACGAGGAGAGUCAAAGAGGGGAGAGGAUGAGAGACAGAGAUAAGAGAGAAAGAACGAGAGCAGAGAGCAGAAAGAGGUAUAUGCAAAAUACACACACACAGCUGUGCAGUCUGACUCAGUGGUUUAGACAGUGGGUCAUUCGGGAGUGCAUGUGCAGCAGUAACCCUUCCCUUCUCGAUUAAUCUGCAUUGUUUAACCUCUGUGCUUGUGUGUGUGCGUGUAUGAAUGUGUGUAUGCGUGUCUGUGUGGGAAGGUAAUUGUGUGUGUGUGUAUUCGGUGCAAAGCCCUGUAUUGUGCCCAAAGUGGAGCACCAAUCCUGAGUCAAUGGGCCAGAGCAAAAGCACUGAAUGACCUCGACCUAACCCGGCCGCUCCCUCUCUGUCAGUGUGUCCGUGCAUGUGUGUGUGUAUGUGCAUGUGGAUGGCUGUUAUGCUCAUUUGUCUCUGCACACCACGUUUAUGUGUGUGUGAAUAACACACCAAGCAAUCGAAAUUCACUGCAAUAUUCAUGACCAUACAGCAAAUUCAGACACCUGCA